rnacentral:lncRNA from 1 species
AUGUGAUUCAGUAAUCACUCAAGAAAACCAUACUUUGACAGAAGAGGAAGCUACUAUACAAUCAAAAAAAUGAGCAAGCAUACGAACUUUAGACACCACAGGAUGGGUGGUCAUGAUGCAGAAGAGCUGAAGAACUUCUGGGAAAAGGUCAUCCAAGAGCAAACUAAGCAACAAGAAGCUGAAGAGUCUAGGCUAAGCAAAAGUGCCCUGAACAAGCUUCGCCAGGAAUGGACUCUCCGGCUGGAAGGUCGAGUAAGGCAGGUCCAGGCGCACAUGAAAACACGGCAGGAACAAA